UAUGGCCAUAUCACGUUGAAACACUGGUUUCCGUACGACCACUGAACUUAAGCAACAUUGAGCCUGGUCAGUACCUAGAUGGGUAACUGCUUGGCAAUACCAGGUGCUGUAA